rnacentral:rRNA from 1 species
CACGUAGGGGGCGAGCGUUGUCCGGAUUUAUUGGGCGUAAGGAGCUCGUAGGCGGCUCAGUAAGUCAGGUGUGAAAACUCCAGGCUCAACCUGGAGACGCCACCUGAUACUGCUGUGGCUAGAGUCCGGUAGGGGAGCAUGGAAUUCCUGGUGUAGCGGUGAAAUGCGCAGAUAUCAGGAGGAACACCAGUGGCGAAGGCGGUGCUCUGGGCCGGAACUGACGCUGAGGAGCGAAAGCGUGGGGAGCAAACAGG